rnacentral:rRNA from 1 species
AGGAUAGAGGCCUACCAUGGUUUUAACGGGUAACGGGGAAUUAGGGUUCGAUUCCGGAGAGGGAGCCUGAGAAACGGCUACCACAUCCAAGGAAGGCAGCAGGCGCGCAAAUUACCCAAUCCCGACACGGGGAGGUAGUGACAAUAAAUAACAAUACGGGGCUCAUUUGGGUCUCGUAAUUGGAAUGAGUACAAUUUAAAUCUCUUAACGAGGAACAAUUGGAGGGCAAGUCUGGUGCCAGCAGCCGCGGUAAUUCCAGCUCCAAUAGCGUAUAUUAAAGUUGUUGCAGUUAAAAAGCUCGUAGUUGAACUUCGGGGUUUACCCAUUGGUCAGGCUUAAUUGUCUGUACUGGUGAGAUAAAUCUCUACCUUCUGAGGAACUUUCAUGUCAUUAAUUUGGUGUGAUUGGAAAUCAGGACUGUUACUUUGAAAAAAUUAGAGUGUUUAAAGCAGGCUAACGUCUGAAUACAUUAGCAUGGAAUAAUGAAAUAGGACGGAUUGAUUCUAUUUCGUUGGUUUCUAGGAUCACCGUAAUGAUUAAUAGGGAUAGUUGGGGGCAUUAGUAUUCAAUUGUCAGAGGUGAAGUUCUUGGAUUUAUUGAAGACUAACUACUGCGAAAGCAUUUGCCAAGGAUGUUUUCAUUAAUCAAGAACGAAAGUUAGGGGAUCGAAGACGAUCAGAUACCGUCGUAGUCUUAACCAUAAACUAUGCCGACUAGGGAUCGGACGAAG